UACGUAGGGUGCAAGCGUUGUCCGGAAUUAUUGGGCGUAAAGAGCUCGUAGGCGGUUUGUCGCGUCUGCUGCGAAAACCCGAGGCUCAACCUCGGGCCUGCAGUGGGUACGGGCAGACUAGAGUGCGGUAGGGGAGAUUGGAAUUCCUGGUGUAGCGGUGGAAUGCGCAGAUAUCAGGAGGAACACCAAUGGCGAAGGCAGAUCUCUGGGCCGUAACUGACGCUGAGGAGCGAAAGCAUGGGGAGCGAACAGG
rnacentral:rRNA from 1 species